rnacentral:rRNA from 1 species
UACGGGAGGCAGCAGUGGGGAAUAUUGCACAAUGGGCGAAAGCCUGAUGCAGCUAUGCCGCGUGUAUGAAGAAGGCCUUAGGGUUGUAAAGUACUUUUCAUCGGGGAGGAAAAAACAAAACUAAUAAUUUUAUUUCUUGACGUUACCCGAAAAAGAAGCACCGGCUAACUCCGUGCCAGCAGCCGCGGUAAUACGGAGGGUGCUAGCGUUAAUCAGAAUUACUGGGCGUAAAGAGCACGUAGGUGGUUUUUUUAAAGUCAGAUGUGAAAUCCCUGGGCUUAACCUGGAACUGCAUUUUGAAACUGAAAUACUAGAGUAUCGUAGAGGGAGGUAGAAUUCUAGGUGUAGCGGUGAAAUGCGUAGAUAUCUGGAGGAAUACCUGUGGCGAAAGCGGCCUCCUAAACGAAUACUGACACUGAGGUGCGAAAGCGUGGGGAGCAAACAGGGAUUAGAUACC